GCCUCAGAAAUUGUUUAACAAACAUAAAGAGAAGGAAAUUCAGGAGAUAUUCCAACAAAAGUAUCAUAGUGUGUUUAAUGUAUAUAUUUUAAAGAGCACAACAUUGAUUUUCAGGUCGAUUUUGCGUCUCCCUGGUUUAUUUUGAAAAGUCCCUCCCAGUCUUUGUUGUUCCUGUUACAGCGAAAGUGUGAACACUCUACUCACACUAUAUACUACAAAACGGCAUUGACUAGUGCAUAAGUACGUAACGGACACACCUUGGGUUUCAAUCGAGACGCCGAACAGAGUUUCUUCUCGGCAGGAAAUGGUGCAUUCCAUUAGUACAUGGAAUUAAGAAAUUCUGAGUUCCCAGUCAAGAGUUCUGAUUCUGAAACUUUGAGGUCAAGGCGGGGCAAAGAAGGGUUUCAACUGAAUGAUCACAACCAUGGAGAGCAACAGUGGUUGCAGAUGUCUGUGGUUCCGUUCAUUCUGGCAAGCUUAAACCAUGCGAAGAGCUGAAUCCCGGUGUA